AACGCACAUUGCGCCUCCCUCCGGGAGGCAUGCCUGUCUGAGCGUCAUCUAACCCAUAAUCAAAAGAUUGUACUGGGCUCUGCAUGUAUGCACUGCCUCAAAGCCAUGGUCUAAUCAUGGAUGGGUUCCUUUUGGGCUGACCAUGAAGAGACAUCGACUCAAUCUGACCUCAGAUCAGGUAGGGAGACCGCCUGAACUUAA
rnacentral:misc_RNA from 1 species